AAACGACUCUCGGCAACGGAUAUCUCGGCUCUCGAAUCGAUGAAGAACGUAGCGAAAUGCGAUACUUGGUGUGAAUUGCAGAAUCCCGUGAACCAUCGAGUCUUUGAACGCAAGUUGCGCCCGAAGCCUUCUGGCCGAGGGCACGUCUGCCUGGGUGUCACGC
rnacentral:rRNA from 2 species